GAGAUGGUGGAAGCUCCUCACAUUUUGGUUCUGCUCCUUAAGAGAUUUGUCUUUGACUACAACACCAUGUCAGAUGUGAAGUCAGACUGCAGUGUGGACGUACCACGGGAAAUAAAAACACAGGCAAGAAGUAGUAGCUUUUAAAGGUGUACCGUGGAUGUCUGCGCUGAAAAACUUUUCAUAUAUCUGCCUCUGUAUGUUGUUGUAGAGCAAGAAGUACAAACUGUAUGGGAUUGUGAAUCACAUGGGCAGUCUGAGAGGAGGACAUUACACAGCCACAGUCCAGUCCAGAGAAGACAAAACCUGGUAUGACUGCGAUGACACUCACGUCCAAAAGGCUGAAGAACAACCAUUUGCAAAAGCCAGGAUCUACAAUUCCAGCACUGCAUACCUGCUCAUGUACAGAGCCUCUGUGAGCAGAGACAAGGUGAAAGAAGAUCAGGAAGAGUCCCACAAGAGUUCAGCUAACAUCAAGAAGAGCCCUCUUCUGAUUCUGCUCAUCAUUUUAGGUUGUGCACUAAUUAUAAUAGUUAUUGUUGUGCUGGCAACUCUGAACAGAAAUUGAGAGAGGAAGGAUACUUACUGUGCAUGGAUUCAGAAACAACAGCCUGAAUUAUAAUCAGUAAUCUUCUAUGAGGAUGACCAAGAAAAUGUUUGUAUGUGUGUAUGGAGCUAUGUUUUGUAGACAGCAGUGAUUAAUGUUAUGAAUGCACGUUAUUUUUUGUUUGUUUUGUGUUAACAGAAAAGGGGAAAAUCGUUUGAAUAAUCAAGGGACAAAAUCAGUUGUACGUUUGUGUGAUUAUGAAGAACUAACGUCGACUAAAUCUGAUUUUAAAGAGAUGUAGUUUCAAAUGCAAAAAGAUUUACUGCACAAGUGUUUUGCAUUCACUGAACAGAUGCUGCCUCAAAGUAAAAAGAGGCCUUGAAAAUGUACUUUCAGCACUAUAUUCUUUUUCAGAGUGAUAACAGUUUUAGUUUUUGUGAAAGAGUUCUUGAAUGAUGUGUAUAUUUCAUUUUUUGUAUUCAUCUUGGGUGAGGUUUUGUUAAAAAUAAUAACAAAAAUACAGUAAGUGUCAUGUAUUCCUCUGCACAAAUCUGGAAUUGGCAAUAUUUGACUCAGAAUCUGAUUCCAUAGUUUUCUACAUAAGAUAAAGUACACUGAGCUAUCGACACUUUCUGAAGUCUUUCUUUGUCUGAAGAAACAUAUUUUUGCUACUUUUUUUAAAUUUGAGAAAUCCCAAAUAGAAGAACAUUAAAAACAUCUUAAAACAUAAUUAUGAG